rnacentral:lncRNA from 1 species
AAUGAAGACUAUUCUCAGCAAUCAGACUGUCGACAUUCCAGAAAAUGUCGACAUUACUCUGAAGGGACGCACAGUUAUCGUGAAGGGCCCCAGAGGAACCCUGCGGAGGGACUUCAAUCACAUCAAUGUAGAACUCAGCCUUCUUGGAAAGAAAAAAAAGAGGCUCCGGGUUGACAAAUGGUGGGGUAACAGAAAGGCACUUCCCCAUCAACGUUGUUAUCCAGGAGAAUGGGUCUCUUGUUGAAAUCCGAAAUUUUUUGGGUGAAAAAUACAUCCGCAGGGUUCGGAUGAGACCAGGUGUUGCUUGUUCAGUAUCUCAAGCCCAGAAAGAUGAAUUAAUCCUUGAAGGAAAUGACAUUGAGCUUGUUUCAAAUUCAGCGGCUUUGAUUCAGCAAGCCACAACAGUUAAAAACAAGGAUAUCAGGAAAUUUUUGGAUGGUAUCUAUGUCUCUGAAAAAGGAACUGUUCAGCAGGCUGAUGAAUAAGAUCUAAGAGUUACCUGGCUACAGAAAGAAGAUGCCAGAUGACACUUAAGACCUACUUGUGAUAUUUAAAUGAUGCAAUAAAAGACCUAUUGAUUUGG